rnacentral:rRNA from 1 species
GGGUUGUGAGGUUAAGCGACUAAGCGUACACGGUGGAUGCCCUGGCAGUCAGAGGCGAUGAAGGACGUGUUAAUCUGCGAUAAGCGUCGGUAAGGUGAUAUGAACCGUUAUAACCGGCGAUUUCCGAAUGGGGAAACCCAGUGUGAUUCGUCACACUAUCAUUAACUGAAUCCAUAGGUUAAUGAGGCGAACCGGGGGAACUGAAACAUCUAAGUACCCCGAGGAAAAGAAAUCAACCGAGAUUCCCCCAGUAGCGGCGAGCGAACGGGGAGCAGCCCAGAGCCUGAAUCAGUAUGUGUGUUAGUGGAAGCGUCUGGAAAGGCGCGCGAUACAGGGUGACAGCCCCGUACACAAAAAUGCACAUGCUGUGAGCUCGAUGAGUAGGGCGGGACACGUGGUAUCCUGUCUGAAUAUGGGGGGACCAUCCUCCAAGGCUAAAUACUCCUGACUGACCGAUAGUGAACCAGUACCGUGAGGGAAAGGCGAAAAGAACCCCGGCGAGGGGAGUGAAAAAGAACCUGAAACCGUGUACGUACAAGCAGUGGGAGCACGCUUAGGCGUGUGACUGCGUACCUUUUGUAUAAUGGGUCAGCGACUUAUAUUCUGUAGCAAGGUUAACCGAAUAGGGGAGCCGAAGGGAAACCGAGUCUUAACUGGGCGUUAAGUUGCAGGGUAUAGACCCGAAACCCGGUGAUCUAGCCAUGGGCAGGUUGAAGGUUGGGUAACACUAACUGGAGGACCGAACCGACUAAUGUUGAAAAAUUAGCGGAUGACUUGUGGCUGGGGGUGAAAGGCCAAUCAAACCGGGAGAUAGCUGGUUCUCCCCGAAAGCUAUUUAGGUAGCGCCUCGUGAAUUCAUCUCCGGGGGUAGAGCACUGUUUCGGCAAGGGGGUCAUCCCGACUUACCAACCCGAUGCAAACUGCGAAUACCGGAGAAUGUUAUCACGGGAGACACACGGCGGGUGCUAACGUCCGUCGUGAAGAGGGAAACAACCCAGACCGCCAGCUAAGGUCCCAAAGUCAUGGUUAAGUGGGAAACGAUGUGGGAAGGCCCAGACAGCCAGGAUGUUGGCUUAGAAGCAGCCAUCAUUUAAAGAAAGCGUAAUAGCUCACUGGUCGAGUCGGCCUGCGCGGAAGAUGUAACGGGGCUAAACCAUGCACCGAAGCUGCGGCAGCGACGCUGAUGCGUUGUUGGGUAGGGGAGCGUUCUGUAAGCCUGUGAAGGUGUGCUGUGAGGCAUGCUGGAGGUAUCAGAAGUGCGAAUGCUGACAUAAGUAACGAUAAAGCGGGUGAAAAGCCCGCUCGCCGGAAGACCAAGGGUUCCUGUCCAACGUUAAUCGGGGCAGGGUGAGUCGACCCCUAAGGCGAGGCCGAAAGGCGUAGUCGAUGGGAAACAGGUUAAUAUUCCUGUACUUGGUGUUACUGCGAAGGGGGGACGGAGAAGGCUAUGUUGGCCGGGCGACGGUUGUCCCGGUUUAAGCGUGUAGGCUGGU